rnacentral:lncRNA from 1 species
UGGCAUGCAUGGGCAGUGUUAUGCUGAAUAUAUUUAUGUUGAAAGUCUUGAAAGUGGGUAGAGAAGAAGAAAACAAUGGGGAAAAGUCACAAAGCCUUUGGACAAGCCAUCUGGGCCCAGCGCCUGAAAAAAUUCGCACAACAAAAAUGCUGGACGCCGGACAUGGGCAGCAGGCCCGGUCCGAGACAGCCAAGGGCUGUCCUUGACCUGUAUAACAAGGUCCAAAGAUGCCCACGGCAGUGCGGCAGCCAGCAGCCGCUGACCUUCCGGGGGGUGGCUGCGCUGCAAAGAGGCUGUAACUGUGGACUGCACAGUAGCCCCAGUCAUCAUGCACCAUUCUUGCAUCCUCACUAGAAUGUCAGCUGUGACUGGGUGGUCCUAUUUGAUGCUUCUAAUCACUAUUUCUGACUAAUUUAUUUGCUUGGUGUUGGACAUGUCGCUGUUUUGCUGUUUUGCUGUUUUUUUGGGGGGGGUGGUGGAUGGCUUGGACAAUAGCACAGUAUAGUAUUUUGAGUACAUCUGUGGUGUCCUGGGCUGAGAGUUGUACCUAUUACUUGUAAAGGUGUGCUGUGUUGUUGCACAGGUCCCCAGGCUUAGUGCUGGUGCUUGCGAGCUAACACAACAGUGCAAUGGUGUGGUGGCUGGUUAACUUAUGUUCACAAGUUUGUUUUAUCCCAUUUAUUGUUAACCUCACUGCUUUUCAUGACAUUUUUCUUUCCUUGGUUUUGCAAAUGCUUUGCUUGGGCUGCAUACUUAGAGCAUGAUGGUCAUGAUGGUGGCUGAAUUCAGUACGCUGAGCUGCAUCCAACCCAUGCUCUAGGACCCCCAUGACAGGGCUGGGAUCCAGCGGAUCCGGCAAUAUGUUGAGUCCGGCCGUCUGGCGGAGCUGAGGCAGCGCCCCAACAUCCAGCCCAAUCUGCAGCUUGAGCGGCAUGCUGCAGGCCAGGGACUACAGCCAGCGACCUCCACUUCCAUGCCUUCCUGAUCGAGGGUCUGGUUAGAUGGAACGCGGAUCGUCACCUGGCGGCGAUCGGACAGGACAGCGCCCGCGAGGUCCGGUGCUACGGACGAGUACAGGGUGCUACGACGGCCGGAUACGGGCAGCCGUCAACGACCUGUCGCAGAGGGUGCUCAAGAGGGACCUAGUCACCAGAAGCGAGCCUCUUCGAUACACGGGUGAGCUCGUCGGGGUCGCCUACCUGUACGGACAGACGGGCCGUAGGCUCGACGAGUACAGGGUGGGUGACCCCGACACGCAGCACGGCGAGGAUGACGAUGUUGGCGAUGACCUCGACGAGGGAUUCGAGGACGUCGAGGACAUCUUCGUGACCGACGCGUACGAUGGUCUCGAAAUGCCACUUCAGACGCCUCUCCCGGCCGCUCCCGUCGGAGUCCCCAGCCUCGCCGCCGCCGGACCUCAGGGACCCGCUACCGCCCGAGUCCCCAGCUCCGCCGACGCUGGGCCUCAGAGUCCCGCCGACGCUGGGCCUCAGAAUCCCGCCGCCGGACCUCAGAGUCCCGCCGCCGCUGCAGCUCCGGGCCCGGCCGCCGCUGCAGCUCCGGGGCCCGCUGCUGCUGCAGCCGCCGCAGCUGCACCUUCAGGACCGCUACCGCUGCCGCUGCAGCCCCGCGGCCUGCUGCCGCUGCAGCCCCGCGGCCUGCUGCCGCUGCAGCUCCGGGGCCCGCUGCCGCUGCGGCUCGGGGGCCCGCUGCUGCUGCAGCCGCCACAGCUGCUGCCUCGUGGCCCGCCGCCGCUAGAGCUCACAACCUCUCACGGCAUGGUAACCAGCCUCCACCGGCUCCUCCUGCCGUCGACGCUGCCAGCUGGUCACCAGCUGACGCACAGCCGGACCUGGAGGGACGCAGCUCACCCGGCCCUGGUGCAGUAGUGGCCGCCGCUCAGUCGCCCGCCAUCCCACUGACGCCAGACUGGGCAGCCGAGGGUCUUCCGGAGCACGGCGUUCAGCUGCUGUCGGCUCCUCCGACUACCGCCGGAGCCCCUGGCCCGGUCCCUGCCGGCGUCCCGGGCACAGCCACCGCGCCACCCACCGUCGCUGGCUCCGCCACCACCUCAAGUUUCGGGAACCCCGACCCGGCUCGCCAGGACGUGACCGGCCCCGACCACCAGCCGGGGUACGCCGAGUGCCACCGCCUGGCGCAGGUGCUCGUCGGCCUAGACUGCUCGCGGGGGUAUGUCGCCGACGAAGAGGCCGAGUCCAUCGUCCACCUGUGGCACCAGCUCUCCGCCGGCGACAGAGCCAAGGUGGCGGCCUCCCCGCGGUACCAGCACCGGCUGACGACCGGCCGGUUUAAACAGCCGAAGACCAGUCGGCUGUCUGGUGUCGUGCCGGGCGUGGACAGCGCACGGAGAGUCUCACUCAAGCGAGGAGCGGUUCCCGCGCAACGACCCGACUUGAACCGGCUCGCUGAGACGGUCGUCCGCCUGCUCUGCGAGCGGUACCGAAACCCCAGGCGCAGCGGAGGGUCGGUCCAGUCGCGCUGGGCGCAGAUCCUGGCCCACCACUCCAGCCUGCGGGACAUUCUCCUCAAAUGUCCCGCAAUCACCCAGCGGACUGGAGUCAACCUGGCGGCUCUGAACCAGCACACGCUCACGUCCUGGUUCAACGAGCACCAGAAGGAGACGGAGCGGAGAGCUCUUCUCCAGGGCGUGCAGCUGCCGCCAGCCCGUCCGAUCGCCGCAGUCGCCCUGCCAGCACCGGCGCCGCGGCUGAUGCAGGUGCAGGUGGUGCGGGUGGACUGCCGCCGCCCACCGCACCACUUCGUCCUGCCUGCCGACACGGUCGGACAGGCGCAGACCCGCCGUCGCCCGGCCGAGGACACCGGCCACGACACCGCCGCCAAGAGGCCCUACACGCGCCGGCAGCCCACCAACACCUGCGGCCAGUGCAAAGGCGCUCUGACGGCGGACACGGGGCACAGACGGGGGAAGGGCGGCCCAUGAAGCCGAAACAAGGUUUUCUGUCCCGUUGCCAACCCUGAUCUAACAUACGAUCAGUGGUUGGCAAAGUUCAAGUGAGAAGUAUGUCUUGUACCUAUGUAUGUAUGUCUUGUCUAUGUUUUGUGUCCUGUAUGCCUGGCAAGUCCAACGCCAGACACCGGCGGAACUGCUUCAGGGCCGCUCUCUCCGGCCGCAGCUCAGGCGCUGCGCCCCCCCCCCCCCCAUGAUCGCCGCUGGCGCCACCUUUCGGCGCCCCGCCGCCGUCGAUGGGGAGAAAAAUAAACCAGAUCUGACUUCGGAUGCCGUCAUGGUGUUUGUGUGGCGUAGAACAACGACGAUAAUAGCGAGUUAAAACCGCCUGACACUGUUUCAGGGUUUGGCGUUUUUGUUCGUGAAUGUUUGCCUGUUCCUUUGAUACUUAGGUUUACGAUUCCCUUCCUUCGUUUGUUUGUUUGGUCGUUAAACAUUAAAUAUACCAGUGUAUAAUG